rnacentral:lncRNA from 1 species
UAAAUUUUCAGUACAUUCUGUAUGAUAUUCAAACAUAGCUUUUGUGUUGUAGUCUAUACUAAGAAGAGCAGAGCAUCCUCACACGAGGAAUAUAAAGAAAGUUGACGCUGUGGCGAGAUAUCAGCAGUUCCGACAGGUUCAGAAAGUUCCACGAGAAAAAAAUAAUAAAAACUUAAGCUGGAAUGUUUAAGAACAAAAGCUGGCUCAAGAUGUAGUUUAUAAAAAGGUUAAAGACACUAUUUCAGAGUACCAGAAGUGUAUUUGUACCAAACAAAUACAAUAUCUCGACAGCCAAGAAGAGUCAAGAUUGACGAAGGCAGGCUAAGGGGCAGUUACCUCGUCACGGCUUCUAUGAAGAAUACUGAAACCGUACACAUCACAUUCCAUUAUCACGUUAUAGUGAUCUAUGUUUAUAUGAGACAACAUACACUAACAGAACUGUGAUAGUCUACAAACAAUACUUGCAUGGAUAGUAAAUCGAAGCAGAGAACCCCAUCUAGUUUUGUGCUUUUUUAUGCACAUAAUGUGUAGCUAUGCUUGAAAGUGUUGAAACGUCUUUAAAAAGAAAGGAAUGGUUGUUUUAAUUUACUAGUGUAAAUAUA